rnacentral:rRNA from 1 species
UAGGGAAUCUUCCGCAAUGGGCGAAAGCCUGACGGAGCAACGCCGCGUGAGUGAAGAAGGUCUUCGGAUCGUAAAACUCUGUUAUUAGGGAAGAACAAAUGUGUAAGUAACUAUGCACGUCUUGACGGUACCUAAUCAGAAAGCCACGGCUAACUACGUGCCAGCAGCCGCGGUAAUACGUAGGUGGCAAGCGUUAUCCGGAAUUAUUGGGCGUAAAGCGCGCGUAGGCGGUUUUUUAAGUCUGAUGUGAAAGCCCACGGCUCAACCGUGGAGGGUCAUUGGAAACUGGAAAACUUGAGUGCAGAAGAGGAAAGUGGAAUUCCAUGUGUAGCGGUGAAAUGCGCAGAGAUAUGGAGGAACACCAGUGGCGAAGGCGACUUUCUGGUCUGUAACUGACGCUGAUGUGCGAAAGCGUGGGGAUCAAACAGGAUUAGAUACCCUGGUA